GACUUUAGUACCAAGCAAUUGUAUACCCCUAUAGAACCUUUUAUGUUAAAACUAGUAACAAGAAGUACCCCUUCUCUCUAAUGCAAGUAUAAAUCAGCAAGGACAUACCACUGAUAGUUAACAUCCAUGAGCUGACAGUAGAAACACCUCAAGAAAACCCUACUACACUUUAUGUUAACCUAACACAAGAGCAUUUCAAGAAAGAUUAAAAGAAAAAGAAGGAACUCGGCAAACAUUAACCCCGCCUGUUUACCAAAAACAUCGCCUCUUGAUAACUUAUAAGAGGUCCAGCCUGCCCAGUGACUUUGUUCAACGGCCGCGGUAUCCUAACCGUGCGAAGGUAGCGUAAUCACUUGUUCUUUAAAUGAGGACUAGUAUGAAUGGCAUCACGAAGGUUAUACUGUCUCCUUUUUCUAAUCAGUGAAACUAAUCUUCCCGUGAAGAAGCGGGAAUAGAAAUAUAAGACGAGAAGACCCUAUGGAGCUUUAAACAAAUAUACAAUUGCCCACUUAAUUAAAAAUUUCAGAAGAUAAGUACUUACCCAGGCACUUUGAUAUAAAGUUUUAGGUUGGGGUGACCGCGGAGMAAAAAACAACCUCCGCAGUGAAAGGGGGGAUCCCCCUAAACUAAGGGCUACUACCCUAAGUAUCAAUAAACUGACACCAGUUGACCCAAUACACUUGAUCAACGAACCAAGUUACCCUAGGGAUAACAGCGCAAUCCACUUCAAGAGCUCCUAUCGACAAGUGGGUUUACGACCUCGAUGUUGGAUCAGGGUAUCCUAGUGGUGCAGCCGCUACUAACGGUUCGUUUGUUCAACGAUU
rnacentral:rRNA from 1 species